CAAGGAUUUCAAACCUAUGUGCCUGGAGGGGCCAGGAAGAGAAGGGCACCAGUUUAUACCCACUGAUGGUCAGGAAACCAGGAGCCAGAUAUCACAAUACAUGGAAGGGCCCUGCUCAUCACUACGGACUCUAACACGGGAAGAUGAGAACACUGAGGCUCAGAAAGUUUAACUGUCUUGCUCAAGGUCACACAGCUGGCCUCAGAGCUGGUGUUGACUUCCCCCAGAAUCUGCCAAAAGGUGAUAAAUCCUAAGCCAUAUCUUUGCCUUAAAAAUAAAUUUGUGUUUUAAGCAGUCUUUCUUAAGCAGUCUUUCAAAUCACUAUUACUAAUGGUCAAAGUUUACUAAUGGCUAGUAAAUAGGAUUAUGUCAUUCUCUCUCUCUCCAAACACUGGGGAACAAGGUGGCAAAAAUGAGUGUACCCCAAAGACAAAAUUAUUUGAAUUCUGCCAUGACAUGAGUGGGCUGGGCUCUUACAAAUGUCCCAUUUAG
rnacentral:lncRNA from 1 species